AUGAGACAAGAUGAUAGGUUUAGAAAUGCAAGUAAUAUUGGUGAGCUCUCUAUUAAGCUGGUUGCAACAAAGAAGCAUGUUCUUUAUGAUUUGGUCUACUUACCCAUCAAAUUGAUAUUGAUUUUACCGGUGGCAACGGCGAGUGUUGAAAGAGUAUUUUCAGCAAUGAAUCUAGUGAAAAGUAAGUUGAGGACUAGUAUGAGUGAUGAUCGUUUGAAUGAUUGCUUGGUGACAUUUAUUGAACGAGAUGUGUUCAUGAAAGUAAGUGAAGAUGACAUAGUUGAUGCUUUCAUGGCAAUGCAAAAACGUAGAGUUACCUAG
rnacentral:rRNA from 1 species